CCUUCUACGUGAUUCAGGUGCAAUUUCUUCAAAAAUAUUCAUUUGAUACUAAUUUUGUUGUUCUUUCAUAGUGAUUUGUAAAAGACAUUUGUAUAUUUUUCCUUUAAAACUUCCUGUUGAUUUCUCGACUAUUCUAUGUAUUUCGAUUUUUAAAUUUAUAUUGUGAAUGGGUUCACAUUCGUAAUUACAUUUUUAUUGUCUGCAUAAUAGCUUUAGAAAUCGAAUGUAUAUGUGAUUAUUUUGCUAUGUUUUUGCUUUUCUGGGAUUUCUUAUACUUUUGUUAGCUUUUUCCAACUAAUGAUUUUGUUUUUGGUUUUUUGCCCCCAAAAUAGCUACAUAUCCAUAUCUUAACGACAACCCGUAAUACAACACCAAAACUUCAUAAAAAUUUUACUUGUUAGCUAGCCAACGUACCUACGUCUUUUUUUUUUUUAUUUAUAUUUUGGCUUAUUAAUUUAAAUUAAAUUUUGACCUGUCACUUUAGGCUUCAUUCAAAAAAAUAUGUUGAAAUUCUUCAAAUUUUUUGUGGGUUUGUUUUAGAAGGUGUUAAUUUUGUAGAUCAAGAGGAAGGGAAAAAAAAACCCCCCUUAAACUUUAGUUCUUGCAAGAUAUUAGACUUCGUUUAUAAAGUUAGCCACUUUGUAGCUUGCGUCUUCCUUGGACUCUGCAUCUUAUUAAGUAGGCUUGGAAGUAUCUCAUUUGACUUUUCGACAACUAAUAUCAACGCAAGCCUAUUUAAACAAUUUGAUUCGAACCACUCUCUAGUGCUUUGUUGAUGAUUUCUAUAGCUCUUACUAUGAUUGCAUGUUUAAGGUUGUUGUAUUUUGCUUUCUUGUUAUGAUGCUCAAUAUUUUUCUGUAACACCUUGAAACUUUUGUCAAGUGGGCAAUAUUCUCUCGUUCUUGGAGUUAAAUUUAUAUUUUCUGGAAGUUCAGGAGAUGGAACAAUGUUAGUUUCAUUUUCAAUUUUUAGGGAAGUUUCAUUUGAGCUGAUUAAUUUGAUCACGGAAGUGCUAUUUAUGUUCAAGUUAUAGUAUUCUAAUAUCGUCCAUCCACAAAACUAACAACUUCUCCUACAUGGAAAAUGAUAUACAUGAAUUAUCUGUCGUAACUUGGUUCUUGGAGUUGUCCAAUGUUCAGUGGUGGUUAUUAUGGUUCUUUUUCUGUUUAUUAAACAUGCACAAAAAGAGUGAGGUAGUAGUUAUUAUUGAAAGUUGAUUUAGGGCCCGUUAGGCAUUGCUCUUGAAAAGUCAAAAUGAACUUUUGAAACUCAAAAGUCGCUUUUGGACUUAUUUGACUGAUUUUAUGAAUCCUUCGUCAGGGAAGAAUUUAUAAAUGAUUUAAUUUAUAAAUUGAUAGAAAUAAGUGAUAGAUAGGUAAAUAAUACAUGUGAAUCCUUUGAAAUGUGUUGUUGAAAAUGAAAUUUUAUUACUUAUAAAUCAUUUUAAGGCGAAUGGUGGCUAACCAACCAAUUUUCCAUUUAUGCAGAUCGAACUUGUAUAAUUGGGGCUCAUUUAUUAGAUUGUUUUGGUACCAUCUACUAUGCUCUUGUAGUGGGGAUUAAAAUUAAAUUUUUAGUAAAAUUUUUAUAGUAGUUGAUUAAAUGCAUGGUUAAAAAGUUGUGGGUUCUAUGAAAUAUAUAGUUAAAAUUAAUUGUUUACUUUGAUUUAUAUUGAAAAUUAGAUUUUAGUUCCUACCAAACAGGUUUUUAUAAAUCAUAUUGAGUGACUUUGAGUGAAAUUUUCCCACAAUUGUUUAUCAUAUUUUAGACAUCUGGAUCAUUUUUAGGCUGUAUAAAGCAAUCAGUGCUCCACUUUCUUAGCUAAAUGUAGAGCUUGUUCCACCUUUCUUAUUUGAUCUUCAGUUCUCAAAAUUCAUAUGGAAGCUAAUAGAUAGUGAACAUGUUCAUCUGUGCUGAAAAGUUACUUUAUUUUUCAGCAAGUAUUUGUUAGUAAAAGAUUCAUAUAAUCAAGUUUAACUUAUUUUUAAGUAUAAAUAUACUUAUAAUGGCAAAUCAAUUCCAAAUAAGAAACUUUUUCUAUCUUCUAAAGUUUUAAAAUUAUAUUAGUAUAUUAUUAAUUGUUUAGAUCUUAUGCAGGCAUUUUUAAGGGUUGCAAAAGAUCUUUAUGCUAUUGUGAUUGCACCCAGAGAGAGUCAAGAGAGCCGGUUUGGCCUAUACUCGUACUUCAUGUUUUAAUUAAUUCUAUCAUUACAUGUUUUACUUCAACUUUGAUGCUUGAAUUAAAGUGUUUCGAUGCUAUCUUCUUUCAUAAAUGAGUAAGAACGUGAAAUUAGUUUCACUUCCUACGUUAAUUUGCAUCAUCUUUAUGAUGCACUGGGGCUCAAGCUCCACAGUGUUGGUUAAACUUAGUUAAGCGUUUUUAAGUAUAAAACACAAAGGAAAAUUAUAUAGGAUUAUCAAAAAUAAAUGACUAAUGCCAUUAAUAACAAUAAACUAAUUUUUUAAAAACGAAGUCACGUAUUCAAUAACUUUUGACAUAAAAGAAAAAGUACUUCGAUCAUAAUUACUUAAAUCCAUUAGCCAAAAAAAUAAAUGAAUAAAUAAAUAAAUAUCCCAUCAAUUAGUUUUCACACUUGAUCUGAUUUGGGAUCAUUCCAACACAAGCCAACAAUAGAGCUUCCAGACUAACUUUUGAUGCUUGCAGCGUCAUUCCUUCCUUCCACUUAUCAAUUAUUUCCUUUAGAGUCACAUCGACAAUCAAAUUUGAAAUCGUUAUAUUCAAUCCUCUUUUUGGACGGACAUUUUCCUUAUUAUUCUCAAACUUAACCAAUCAUUCAAGACUUGCUAUCCUUUUUAUAUGUCAUCCCACUUUUUAUUGUUACUCAUUCGCAAUCUUUUACAUCAACAAACAACGGAAUUUAUCAUAUAAGAGCUCCAUGUAUUCAGCAGUCUGUGGCAAACUAAUAAAGGGACCAGUAUUCCAACUUUCGUAGUCAUUUUUGCCUCCACUCUUUCUGCUUUCUAAAUUACCCGAUAAUUGUAGAUUCACUAAAAAAAUUUCAUCAUUAGUGGAAUACAAAUCUAUAUUCAUUUGUUCAUAAUUAAACAUGUCUUACUUGUUGUUAUGUAAACAAGUUAAUCUAUUAUAAAGCACAUUAUUUCUAUACAUAUCGUAUAAUAAAUGUUUCAACAUCUUUUCUCUCUUAAACCUUAUGAUUAUUUUUAGUUCCGGUUGCUAGCUUCUUCUUCGAAGUAUUAAAUCAUUUAUUGUUCUGAUGGAUCCUUCGACAAUGUCUAUUGAUUGAGAAUCUGCUGUUCUUAAAUAUGAUACCAUUCUUCCAAGCAGAAGUGAGGCAUACAAUGCAUUCAUUCACCAACAACGAAAUCAAAGACAAAGGGAUUGGAGAAAUCGAGUCAAAGCUGGACGAAUUGAUUCUCGAGAAAGGGUAACUGACACAGUAUUAUCCGAAAAUACUAAUUUCAGUUCUGCCCAUGUGAAUGAAGCAGUAAUAUGUCAUGAUUUCGAGGCUUCUACUUCGAACCAAGAAGCGACUGAUGUUUCUAAAUGUGUAAAACUUAUGAACAUACCAAAUACUGCAUAUGUAUUACUGACAUGUACCUAUUGUAAAUAUUGUGGUGCAUGAAAAUUUCAUAGAGAAAGUAAAAGUUUUUGUUGCUCAAAUGGAAAAGUUAAACUUUGUAUGCUUGAUUCACCC
rnacentral:lncRNA from 1 species